GAGCAAACAAACCAAGUCCAGGCGAAAGCUUAUUCCGAACUAAGUUCGGUAAAAACUAUUUCAACGUUGUUUAUCCUAAGUGCACCAAACAAGGUGGUAGUUUUACUUGCACAAGUAAAAUAACAAGCAAUACUAAUGGUGACCAAAGAUGUGGAACAUUCAACAUUACCCCCGGCACUGAAUAUUUAUCACUUGACAAUAAGUUCUACGAAACUGUAUGAAACAAAUUUUUGUAUGUUACCUGGUUAUCUGCAAUAAUACAAUUAUAAAUGAGA